UACGGAGGAUGCAAGUGUUAUCCGGAAUCACUGGGCGUAAAGCGCCUGUAGGUGGUUUAAUAAGUCAACUGUUAAAUCUUGAGGCUCAACUUCAAAAUCGCAGUCGAAACUAUUAGACUAGAGUAUAGUAGGGGUAAAGGGAAUUUCCAGUGGAGCGGUGAAAUGCGUAGAGAUUGGAAAGAACACCAAUGGCGAAAGCACUUUACUGGGCUAUCACUGACACUGAGAGACGAAAGCGAGGGUAGCAAAUGGG
rnacentral:rRNA from 1 species